UCACAUCCCUCUUUUCUUUUUAAAUAAAUAUUUACUUUCUCUAGUUUCUCUUUUUAUUCUAUUAUUUUCUUAUUUUAGAUUUUGAUAUUGCAGUUUUUCUCAGUCGUUUUGAUACGUUUCUUGAAUCGACAUUUGCAAAACAGUAAAUGUUUUUCCCAGAACAAUUCGUACAAAUAGCAAAACACCAUGGAGUACCUGCAAAAGCCAGUCUCUUGCAUAAGAUGAUUAGUCCAUCUCUCUACAGUAAAUAUCUGUGUCAGUGAACAUUUCAGGUCCAUCAGAAUGAGCAGUCCUGGUGUCACUGUGUGGAUAAAACAGUCAGAUUGUUUAGUCAUGUUGUCAUUCUAACAGUGUUCUCUGGAGGGAUGUUCUGAUGUAAACUAUGGAUAAGGUUUGGUGACAAUUACUGUAAACUGUAAGUUACAUCUUAGUGUAUGUGGGUGAUAAGAGACUGGAUGAGAUUCACAUUUAUGCUUUUACUGUUUGUGUUGUAAUUUGUUGACAGACCACGUUAUUGUGAUACAGAAAUGAAAACGGCUGCAUAGCACAAAGAAAAAACAAAAAAACUAAAGUAGAAAUGUGAACAUAGGAGAAUCUCCUGAGGGAAAACUGUACAUGCAGUGCUGUAGGAAUAUCUUUUCUUUUGUCUUUGAGUGAUUUCAGAGAACCCUAACCUUUCACACAUUUCCCUUCAUAAGAGGAAGUCAAGAUUCACCUGGGAGCAAUUUGCCAGUUCAGGACAGAUUUAGAAAAAAAAGUGUAAUGGAAAUGUAUAGAAACAUCCUUGACAUAUUCUGACAACUUAUUCAACCACUUUGAGACCAUUCAACAGAGCAGUGAUUGGUCAGCCCAUAGUGUAUCCAGUCUUCUACAUAUAUCUAUGGUGGACAUGUCUGCUAGCAUCUGUGGCUGCUGUUGACCUUGUUUUUGGAGUAAAACACAGUAAGAAGAUAAAUACUUCUAACCAGUAGUGUUGUUUUGUUGUACGUUAAGUCAGCGACUUGUGAAGAACUGUGUUUUGUUGUGUUUGAGCAGUUGGUCCGGACGCAUUAGCUAGCUAAGCGGCUAAGUUAGCUCGCGGGCUAAUUAGCACAGGUGGCUAAUUUACUGCUGAACACCUGUUUUAGUUGCUUCCGCAGCUGUCUGUCAUUAGAAUGAACUUCUCAACCUGUUUUCUCUGCUGUGUAUUUUAUCUUUUACAAAAGUUAUUUUAGGUUAACUGGAACCCCUUCAGCUGUACUGAAGUUUAACAUUCAGCUGGUUUGAAUUAAACCGUGCUUAACUUAACAUUGCCUCUCUGAAUCUCCAUAAUUUCAUUAAAUUCCUUCUCUCUUCCACUGCUCAAGUUCAAUCCAGUAUAUAAAGUGAUGUUAAUAAUGAUUUAUUAAUUAUUGCAUGUAUUUGUCAACAAGCCCUCCAACUCAUACGACCACACAGGUUGUAUGUAACGUGCCCCUGAAUACGACCCAUGAGAGCGUAUUUAGGUUAGCGCCCCUGUGAGGGACAGGAAGGCAUUACGGGAUUUAAUUCACGAAAUGGCUUUUCCCUCACUUUGGCAAGACGGGUUUAGGGUUAUGGUUAGGGUUAGGGUUAGGAUUAGGGUUAGGGUUAGUGUUGGGUCAAAGUUUGUUCAUGGUGACGUUUCAGCUGAGACACCGGAGUGUCGAUAUUUACUCAACCACUACAGGUCGCUUAACUUCAAAACGUAACACUCGGUCAUAAUACGGGCGUGUACAGACGACCUAUGUGGUCGUUUUUUCUAUGAGGACAGUCUCGUAUUUGUAGUCAAACAUGAGUUGAAACAUCUUUUUGGAUCUAGAACUGCACAAGCCGUUCAUUUUCAGUCACCUGACGAGUUAAACUCCCCUUUUUACGUGAGGUUGAAGCAGAAAGUCUGAGUUAACAAAGGAAGUUGUUUAUAAUGUGCAAUGCUUGUUAUGUCUGACUGAGGCUUUAGUUUAUGCUGAGCUGAUUUACACGUAGAAACUUUGUUCAGGAAGAUUUCUCAGUAGCUCAGAGGUCAGGCUGCUUUUACACAACCUUAUAUGUCUGCCAAUGCAUUCAGCAGAAUUUAGAAACACAACACUUCCUAAACAAAUGUUUUGAGGCUGUGAGUUGAACGUUUGAGAGUCUAUCAGUGUGUUUGUUUGUGGUCUUUGUUUGUCAUCUCUAAGCUCCUCACACGUCUUUACCUGCACAUGAGGAAAAUCACUCCUGUAGAACGCAGAUGUUCAGAGGGAGCUGAUGCCACAUCUGGUCCAGCCGAUGGAAGGUCUUGAAGUUCUCUGGCUGAAGAUGGUCCUCUGACUGGAUUUAAGGUUCAGAUGCUCAGGAACAAACUCCACCAAUGAGCCAACAGGGAAGCUUUAGCUUUAUUAAAUGCUGCUAUGAAGGUAUCACUGUUUUUCUCUGUGAAUGCAACGUGCUGCGACUGAAACCUGAACUAGAACUUAGAAGUAAAUCCUUUAGUUGCAUUAAUAACCUCAGAACAUUCUCAUUUUGAUUCCAGUCUUGGUUGGAAAUAGAAUCUCUGUAUUGGUUCAGGUAAAAACUGAACUUCACAGCAUGUUGGAGCAGAAGCAGCAGAUAAAACUGUGCUGGU